AACAAAAUAAGAAAUACAAAUGAAAAACAUACAAAGGUCAGCUGUCAAAGUACGUCGGCCCCUGAGAAUAUUCUCACAUCAAAUGCUUCUAAAAUUAGACAUUACGUAACGCGCGUUGCGUUCGUGUCAGAGGUAGGGACCCCGGUGCAUGCUGGGUAUGGACACGACGGCUAAACUAACUCAUUAUUAAGAGACACUGGAGACGAUGAGCGCACGCGCAACCUCGAAGGCGUCGUUUUACAUUCGACACGCAGAGCGGCGCAACCGAGAGAAACCGCACACACGCACGCACAGACACACACACGCACAUAAGCGCACACAGUCCGGGUCGGAUGGCGUUAUCAACACAAAGAGAAAUAGAGAAAUAGUGGUGUGCAUCAACAUCCAAGUGCGCCUCCAAGGCCGUCGUAUCUCUGACACGCACAGACACACAAACAGACACACAACCCUGUGGUGGGUCACUGGGUUUUCAAGGUCCCAUCUGAAGCUGGUUACAUUGUGCCUUCGUAUCUCAAAGUUACACAAUCUAUGAAGACAAAGUCAAGACAAAGAGGCCCUGAAGGCAGCACGCGUGCAACCAGCUGGUCCAAAUACGGCGCGUUGAUGAAACGUUGAGGUGCAGCAGAGGAGCAGAACUGAUUUAGGGCGACGUCGGGUGUUUCACGCAGCUCUUAAACACACACCCUGUAAACGAUGAAGAAGCCGCUUCGUCUGAAUCGCAGCCCGAAGCAGUGAAACGAACGCUGCUGAUACUCGCGGGAAAGAGAGCGCGGACGAAUGCUGAAGGGCCUCUACUCCUCGGACGCGAAGGUGGGAGAAUGAAGCGCGCACUCGUGCGUCAGCAGCCACAACACCUCGAGAGUUUGUUUGCGGCGCGAAGCCUCCUCUGUCCGCCGGAGGAGAGAGCGGCAGCAGGAAAGGGCCCCACAUUUGGCUUCAGAAGAGCUCGGUGAUCUUCACUCCCACAGGAGGCCACGCGACCCAACAGAACAUGGAGAUGUUCCACCACCAGCAGGUUCCUUCCUCAUUUGAUCCUCAAUCGAGAGUUGAAGGAAGAAGCGAAUCCUUUCGGACGAAUGACUCAGUGUAAAUCCAAAGAUGCAAAGACGUGUUUGUCGCACAUUGUGAAGGUCACGCUGGUACAAACUCGUCGUGUUGUCAGCCGAGGUCGUGGAGUUGUGAUCCAUACGUAAUGAGAGAAGUUCAACCCGCCGGUCUCCAGCAAUGUGCACUCACAGACAUCCGAUUCACUUUCAUUUGGAGAUUUCGUUUAAUAAGACAUCUGUGUCCAACCUUGUAAAUGGUUUUAUGUGCUGACAUCCGAAAUAAAUAAGCUUGUUUGUUUUUUUUCAUUAUACAGCAUAUUUUACGAUUGCAUUUUAACAACCAAAGUGCAUUUAGCUUGAAAAUAAACUCAAGGAUGUAAUAAACGUCUCAAAGAUCGACUUAAAAGCAAUCUAGAGUAGAACUUUUUGUAAAUGGAUUUUUUUCCAGUAAAUUAAACAAUAAACUGUCAAGAGGAAAAGUGACGUGUUACGUACUUUUCUUAGCAAGAAAAACAAAAACAGCUAAACACAAAAAGCGACAAACUACUUUGUUGGCGAGUUGGCGCCAAAGUAUUCUCUGGUAUACAUGGCAGGUAGCAUGUAGCAGGUAGCACGUAGCACGUAGCACGUAGCAGGUAGCAGGUAGCACGUAGCACGUAGCACGUAGCUAGGUCGCUAAAUAGCUCCGGGACCAGAGACCAGAUCCGACUGCAGCCUUUGCUGAGUCUCUCAGGGGGAACAAACAGCAUCACGAGCUCGUGGACUCGGAUCCUCGGGCCUUUUUAACAAAAACAGCAAGUCAAUAUGUUUUCUUUGAGGAAACUGACAGUCGACACCAACAAAUCACACAAAGCAACAUGAAGCUGGAUGAGAAACCCAGUGGAAUGUAAAAAAACAUCCUAAACUAUUAUCUCUUGGAUGAAGGGGGGUUAGAACCCAAAGAGCUCAGCAGGGAAAUCACGUUUCACUGCGUGUGUGUGUGUGUGUGUGCGUGUGCGUGUGCGUGUGCGUGUGUGUGUGUGCGUGUGUGUGUGUGUGUGUGUGUGUGUGUGUGUAAGAGAAGAAUGGAGACAUUGUAGCCGUUAGUGUGCGUGUGUCCACACUUGAUUUAAAGCCACUUUCAACAUUUUCUUUCAGAGUGAACGGAAAACUUUAGUUUUAGCCAAAGUUUUGUGGUUUGAUGAGAAAAACAUGGCGGUAAGGUGCUUUCUGAAAGGCUGCAUUGUCGAAACAGAGCGUUCUUGUAAUCACAUUAUCUCUCAAAGGAUGUCCAUGCUUUCUUAUUGUUUGAUUUUAUGUCGGUGUCAUAUGAAAUAACGCAUGUGAAUGAAAUGUAGAGGUACAUUAUUCCUCUUUUUAGUUCAUUGCUGAUUGGUUUGUCUGCAGGAUUACGGAAAAAAAAGAGAUUUUGGAUUGGAUCCAAAUCAAGGGGCGGAUAUAAAUAGUUUGUUUUUCCCUUUUUGUGCAUGAAGCCAAUUAGAGACCUCGACACUUUGUCCACAGCGAAACAUCCUCAGGUAGGAAGCCUCUCAUUAAACAUGGUUUAAUCAUUAUUCUGUUUGUCCUACUGUUCCUUUUUAAUUACAAAAACAGCUUCCAGAGCAAAUUGCUGAGCUUCAGUUCUGCCGAGGACGACGUGUCUGAUCUCGGGUGAAGUUUGUUCAAUCGGGUUAAAAGUAUGACUCAUUCACUCCACACAGAUUUCACAACAGCAUAACGACAGUUUGGUAAGUGACCAGUUAUGUGGUAAGAUGCAUUAGAACAAAUUGUUACGCCAGCACGCGGUUUUCCAACAACACCCUGUUGUUCACCUGUCAGUCGAGCUUUGAUGGAUCGUUUCCUCAUUACAGUUGGACGUCUCACGUGUCAGCCUCGCGUCAGUGACGAGCCGGUACGUCAGCAGGACAUCGAGCAAUGCGACGCGUCCUGCGAUGUGAACUCGAUCCGGAUCAGGAAAUGAAGCAACGAUCUGGCAAAGGUUUCCUCCAAAGUCGUGCGAGAGGAGCAGCCGCUCCGUGACCUGUGGAGGUGUCUGCUGUCCGCGUUGCCGCCAGAGGUCCGACAAGCUGACGGCAUCGGCGGCUGUGAUACUAAUUAUUUAGGAAGCACAUCGUCCAAAUCCACUGGAGAAAUGACGUGUGAGCCCGGGGGGGUUCAGACACAUGACAGGAGGCAGGUGGGCAGCAAAGACCACAACAUCCCUGAAACGAGGAAAAGCAGAUGUGACGUGACAAGGCGUGCAGAUGUUGUAACAAACCGCUGCUCUCGUGCACGACGAGCCACAAGUGGGCGGCGCCCGUGACCACCAACCGCCGGCCUCCAAAAACAUGUUUUUCGUUUUUAACACGGCGGAAUAACUGGUGUCCACUGGUCCCUGCUAAUCACCGCAGGACGUUUUCCUCCAGGAGUCGGACAAAGGGUCCCGAGGGACGACCCGCAGCGUGCAGCCCACCCCUCCGGGCGCGUACAGUAGCGUGCGACCUUCAAGCCGCCCUUCGAGGUCGUCUGGGUGCUUUUCGUUCAUUCACAGAUGUAAACAAGGCCCCACGACCUUCACACAUGUGGGGAGUUUAAUUCUGUCCAAAUACUGUGGAAGCAUUUUCUACUUCUUGACUUUCCAACUGCACAACAAAUAGUGAACGAAUGUGUUGUCGACUUCCCCUCAUGACUCUGUAAUACUUUAUGCAAGAAAACCGCUCAGUAACAACGCCGUUCAUGUCAUUUCAUCCAAUGAAGUGCGGAUUAACUCCAGCUAUUUGUGUUGUGUUCAAAGAGGCAAAUGGCCAUUUAGUCUAAAUUAUGACAGUAAAAAUAGUAAUGAGGGAACAUAAAAUAAGUUUUGCGAUAAAAACAAUGUUUAGAUACACAACAAAUAAUAAAAGACAAG
ensembl:lncRNA